rnacentral:rRNA from 1 species
GAUGAACGCUGGCGGCGCGCCUAACACAUGCAAGUCGAACGGUUAAAGCACCUUUUAGGUGUGUAUAAAGUGGCGAACGGCUGAGUAACACGUGGGCAACCUGCCCUCCUCUUGGGGAUAGCCUCGGGAAACCGAGGAUAAUACCCGAUACUUCAAUGUGGCCGCAUGACGACAUUGAGAAAGCUUUUGCGGAGAAGGAUGGGCCCGCGGCCUGUUAGCUUGUUGGUGGGGUAGAGGCCUACCAAGGCAAUGAUGGGUAGCCGGGUUGAGAGACCGACCAGCCAGAUUGGGACUGAGACACGGCCCAGACUCCUACGGGAGGCAGCAGUGGGGAAUCUUGCACAAUGGGCGAAAGCCUGAUGCAGCGACGCCGCGUGCGGGACGAAGGCCUUCGGGUUGUAAACCGCUUUCAGCAGGGACGAGGCGAUAAGUGACGGUACCUGCAGAAGAAGCCCCGGCUAACUACGUG